rnacentral:rRNA from 1 species
CCCUUAGAUGUUCUGGGCUGCACGCGCGCUACACUGAAGCGUUCAACGAGUAUUCACCUUGCCCGGGAGGGUUGGGUAAUCUUUUGAAAACGCUUCGUGAUGGGGAUAGAUUAUUGCAAUUAUUAAUCUUCAACGAGGAAUUCCUAGUAAGCGCGAGUCAUCAGCUCGUGCUGAUUACGUCCCUGCCCUUUGUACACACCGCCCGUCGCUCCUACCGAUUGAAUGGUCCGGUGAAGCGUUCGGACCGUGGCCUUUGGACGGUUCGCCGUCUGUUGGCUGCGGGAAGUUCGUUAAACCUUAUCAUUUAGAGGAAGGAGAAGUCGUAACA